GGACAGAUGGAUGAAGGUGGAAGAGGAGACGGGCUGGCGAGACGAGACUAGAUUGACCGGAGACUCCAAAGAGAAAGCAGCACACUGCUGGUGUGUACAGAUGCCAAGAAGGCGCAAAAAAUUUGCACACCAAAAGUCAGA